UACGUAGGUGGCAAGCGUUGUCCGGAUUUACUGGGCGUAAAGAGCGCGCAGGCGGUCGUGCAAGUCGCGUGUGAAAGCCCCCGGCUCAACUGGGGAGGGUCACGCGAUACUGCUCGACUCGAAGGCAGGAGAGGGAAGUGGAAUUCCCGGUGCAGUGGUGAAAUGCGUAGAUAUCGGGAAGAACCCCCGUGGCGAAGGCGGUUCUCUGGGACGGUACUGACGCUGAGACGCGAAAGCGUGGGGAGCGAACAGG
rnacentral:rRNA from 1 species